rnacentral:rRNA from 1 species
UUCCAGACUCCUACGGGAGGCAGCAGUGGGGAAUAUUGGGCAAUGGGCGCAAGCCUGACCCAGCAACGCCGCGUGAAGGAAGAAGGCUUUCGGGUUGUAAACUUCUUUUCUGGGGGACGAAGAAAGUGACGGUACCCCAGGAAUAAGCCACGGCUAACUACGUGCCAGCAGCCGCGGUAAUACGUAGGUGGCAAGCGUUGUCCGGAUUUACUGGGUGUAAAGGGCGUGUAGCCGGGCCGGCAAGUCAGAUGUGAAAUCCCGGGGCUCAACCUUGGAACUGCAUUUGAAACUGUUGGUCUUGAGUAUCGGAGAGGCAGGCGGAAUUCCUAGUGUAGCGGUGAAAUGCGUAGAUAUUAGGAGGAACACCAGUGGCGAAGGCGGCCUGCUGGACGACAACUGACGGUGAGGCGCGAAAGCGUGGGGAGCAAACAGGAUUUGAUACCCUAGUA